GUCUACGGCCAUACUACCCUGAACACACCCGAUCUCGUCUGAUCUCGGAAGCUAAGCAGGGUCGGGGCUGGAUAGUACUUGGAUGGGAGACAAAAGAGGGUUUCCAGAACUGCUUCACC
rnacentral:rRNA from 1 species